CUAGCGGCAGGCCUAAUACAUGCAAGUCGAGGGGCAGCACGGUUUUCGGACUGGUGGCGACCGGCGCACGGGUGCGUAACGCGUAUGCAACCUACCCUAUACUGGGGGAUAGCCCAGAGAAAUUUGGAAUAAUACCCCAUAGUAUCAUUAGAAGGCAUCUGAAGAUGAUUAAAGAUUUAUCGGUAUAGGAUGGGCAUGCGUAAGAUUAGUUAGUUGGUGAGGUAACGGCUCACCAAGGCGACGAUCUUUAGGGGGUCUGAGAGGAUGGUCCCCCACACUGGCACUGAGAUACGGGCCAGACUCCUACGGGAGGCAGCAGUAGGGAAUAUUGGUCAAUGGGCGAGAGCCUGAACCAGCCAUGCCGCGUGCAGGAAGACAGCCUUCUGGGUUGUAAACUGCUUUUAUAUGGGAAGAAAAGACCCCUGCGGGGGGCAUUGACGGUACCAUAUGAAUAAGCACCGGCUAACUCCGUGCCAGCAGCCGCGGUAAUACGGAGGGUGCAAGUGUUGUCCGGAUUUAUUGGGUUUAAAGGGUGCGUAGGCGGUCAAUUAAGUCAGUGGUGAAAUCCUAUAGCUUAAACUAUAGAACUGCCAUUGAUACUGGUUGACUUGAGUACAGACGAGGUAGGCGGAAUUUAUGGUGUAUCGGUGAAAUGCAUAGAUACCAUAAAGAACACCGAUAGCGAAGGCAGCUUACUGGACUGUAACUGACGCUGAGGCACGAAAGCAUGGGUAGCGAACAGGAUUAGAUAUCCUGGUAGUCCAUGCCGUAAACGAAGCUCACUCGAUGUAUGCGAUACACUGGUAUGCGUCCAAGCGAAAGCGUUAAGUGAGCCACCUGGGGAGUACGCCGGUAACGGUGAAACUCAAAGGAAUUGACGGGGGUCCGCACAAGCGGUGGAGCAUGUGGUUUAAUUCGAUAAUACGCGAGGAACCUUACCUGGGCUAUAAUGUGAGUGACCGUCCGUGAAAGCGGAUUUUCUUCGGACACGAAACAAGGUGCUGCAUGGUUGUCGUCAGCUCGUGCCGUGAGGCGUUGGGUUAAGUCCCGCAACGAGCGCAACCCCUAUUCUUAGUUGCCAGCGAGUAAUGUCGGGGACUCUAAGGAGACUGCCUGCGCAAGCAGUGAGGAAGGUGGGGACGACGUCAAAUCAUCAUGGCCCUUACGCCCAGGGCUACACACGUGCUACAAUGGCCGGUACAAAGGGUUGCCAACUCGCGAGAGUGAGCAAAUCCCAAAAAGCCGGUCUCAGUUCGGAUCGGAGUCUGCAACUCGACUCCGUGAAGCCGGAAUCGCUAGUAAUCGCGUAUCAGCUACGACGCGGUGAAUACGUUCCCGGGCCUUGUACGCACCGCCCGUCAAACCAUGGGAGUUGGGGGUGCCUGAAGCCGGUAGCCUAACCGCGCUGUCUAGGGCAGAACUAGCGACUGGGG
rnacentral:rRNA from 1 species